rnacentral:rRNA from 1 species
GAUUGGGAGGAGGUUGCGACCUCCGUUUGGUGAAGCGUAGUGCCAAGAAAAGCUGUGUAAGUGUUGAAGUAUUAGUACCCGUACCCCAAACCGACACAGGUGGGUAGGUUGAGUAUACUAAGGGGCGCGAGGUAACUCUCUCUAAGGAACUCGGCAAAAUGGCUCCGUAACUUCGGGAGAAGGAGUGCCACCGAGAGGUGGUCGCAGUGAAGAGGCCCAAGCGACUGUUUAUCAAAAACACAGGUCUCUGCUAACUCGUAAGAGGAUGUAUAGGGGCUGACGCCUGCCCAGUGCCGGAAGGUUAAAGAAGCCGGUCAGUCUUCGGAUGAAGCUGGCGACUGAAGCCCCGGUGAACGGCGGCCGUAACAAUAACGGUCCUAAGGUAGCGAAAUUCCUUGCCGGGUAAGUUCCGACCCGCACGAAAGGCGUAACGAUUUGGGCGCUGUCUCGGAGAGAGGCUCGGCGAAAUAGGAUUGUCUGUGAAGAUACGGACUACCUGCACCUGGACAGAAAGACCCUAUGAAGCUUUACUGUAGCUUGGGAUUGGGUUCGGGCUUGGUUUGCGCAGGAUAGGUGGGAGGCUAUGAGGGUUAGUUUGCGGACUAACCGGAGCCGCUGGUGAGAUACCACUCUAACUAAGCUAGAAUUCUAACCUCAACCCGUAAUCCGGGAGAGGGACAGUUUCAGGUGGGCAGUUUGACUGGGGCGGUCGCCUCCAAAAUGGUAACGGAGGCGUGCAAAGGUUCCCUCAGGCUGGUUGGAAAUCAGCCGAAGAGUGUAAAGGCAGAAGGGAGCUUGACUGCGAGACCUACAAGUCGAGCAGGGUGGAAACACGGCCUUAGUGAUCCGACGGCACUGCGUGGAAGGGCCGUCGCUCAACGGAUAAAAGUUACUCUAAGGAUAACAGGCUGAUCUCCCCCAAGAGUUCACAUCGACGGGGAGGUUUGGCACCUCGAUGUCGGCUCAUCGCAACCUGGGGCGGUAGCACGUCCCAAGGGUUCGGCUGUUCGCCGAUUAAAGCGGUACGUGAGUUGGGUUCAGAACGUCGUGAGACAGUUCGGUCCAUAUCCGGUGUAGGCGUAAGAGAAUUGAGAGGAGCCUUCCUUAGUACGAGAGGACCGGGAAGGACGCACCGCUGGUGUACCUGUUAUCGUGCCAACGGUAAACGCAGGGUAGCCAAGUGCGGAGUGGAUAACCGCUGAAAGCAUCUAAGUGGGAAGCCCACCUCAAGAUGAGUUCUCUGUUGGGGUCAACCCAGUAAGGUCACGGGAAGACUACCCGUUGAUAGGCGCUAGGUGGAAGUGCAGUAAUGUGCGGAGCCGAGGCGUACUAACAGACCGAGCGCUUG